rnacentral:rRNA from 1 species
UACGUAGGGUGCAAGCGUUGUCCGGAAUUAUUGGGCGUAAAGAGCUCGUAGGCGGCUUGUCGCGUCGGCUGUGAAAACCUGGGGCUCAACCCCGGGCCUGCAGCCGAUACGGGCAGGCUAGAGUUCGGUAGGGGAGACUGGAAUUCCUGGUGUAGCGGUGAAAUGCGCAGAUAUCAGGAGGAACACCGGUGGCGAAGGCGGGUCUCUGGACAGUGACUGACGCUGAGAUGCGAAAGCGUGGGGAGCAAACAGG